rfam:Dethiosulfatarculus sandiegensis strain SPR contig_1, whole genome shotgun sequence.
AGGCCUGUAGCUCAACUAGGCUAGAGCGUCGGACUCCAAAUCCGAAGGCUGGGGGUUCGAUUCCCUCCAGGCCUG